GCUUCGGUGGUGUAGUGGUUAGAGCACGCGUCCCCGCAUAGGAUGAAACGCGAGAUCGAUUCCCCGCUUGAGGUC